GGAAAGUUCCCAGAAGGAUGUGCCAACUGCUCAUCAUGUGAUGUUUUUGAACCAUCGUGCGAAAGGACUGAAGGAAAGACGAAGUUGUUUUUUAAAAUUGAUGUUAAAGGUUACAGUAAGUCACAGCUACAUGUUAAAACCGAGAAGGGGAGAUUGAUAAUAUGGGGAGAACGACGCGCGGGGGAAAUUAGCCUUCGGAACGAUUCCACUGAAAUGGCAAUGGAAGAAAAAGGAAAUUCGCCCCUUUCUUGUUUGGUUGUGACCGUUUCACGGCGCCAAGCUUACCAUCACAAUAAAGAAAGGCACACUUUUGGUCUGACGUGAAGAAUAUAUAUAGCUUUUGCACUCUGAAUCCACGUUGAAGAAAUACUAUUCCACAGUGAAAGCGCGUCAUGAUUUGGCUUACCGAGUCGCGGGUCCCUGGUCCUCUGUUACUUAUUCAGAUUGCUGUGAUGAUCAAGUGCACAUGUGGAAGCCGCACAAAGGCACAAAUAAAUAAAUAAAUCAAUCAAAAUUAACAUGAUAAUUAACUUUGUCGUA